CAUUUACUAAACGGGUUUAAAACAACACUAAACGUUUUAAGGAAUGUGAAAAAAAGGGAAGCUUUGGCUAAAUCCCAUAUAGUACAUGAUAUUGGAUUUGUCUUCUGACUGCAAAUAACGACAUUUGCUCAAUAGUAAUUGAGUAAUACAUUUUUUUAAAAGAUAUAUAUAACUUGUGUCCAAUUUACAGGUUAACUAUUUAAAUGACAUAGGAAAGAAAU